rnacentral:rRNA from 1 species
UACGUAGGGACCAAGCGUUGUUCGGAUUUACUGGGCGUAAAGGGCGCGUAGGCGGCGUGACAAGUCACUUGUGAAAUCUCCGGGCUUAACUCGGAACGGCCAAGUGAUACUGUCGUGCUAGAGUGCAGAAGGGGCAAUCGGAAUUCUUGGUGUAGCGGUGAAAUGCGUAGAUAUCUGAAGGAACAUCAGUGGCGAAAGCGACUUCCUGGACCAAUACUGACGCUCAUGCACGAAAGCGUGGGGGAGCAAACAGG